rnacentral:rRNA from 1 species
GGAAUAUUGGACAAUGGGGGCAACCCUGAUCCAGCAAUGCCGCGUGUGUGAAGAAGGCCUGCGGGUUGUAAAGCACUUUUAUGUCAGAAGAAGGCUGGGGGCCGAAUAAGCCCCCAUGUUUGACGGUAUGACAGGAAUAAGAACCGGCUAACUCCGUGCCCGCAGCCGCGGUAAUACGGAGGGUGCGAGCGUUAAUCGGAAUUACUGGGCGUAAAGCGUGCGUAGGCGGUUAGUUAAGUCGGAUGUGAAAGCCCCGGGCUCAACCUGGGAAGGUCAUUCGAUACUGGCUAACUGGAGUCUGGCAGAGGCUGGCGGAAUUCCCGGUGUAGCGGUGAAAUGCGUAGAUAUCGGGAGGAACAUCAGUGGCGAAGGCGGCCGGCUGGGUCAAGACUGACGCUGAGGCACGAAAGCGUGGGUAGCAAAC